ACAGCUACUAUAUACAUUAACAGUUCUUUGGACUUAAUGCACUUAAUCUACAAUACAUUUCAUAAAAACGACAAAAUUGAUUUGUAAAAUACAAAAAUGGUAAAGGAAUGAGUAUUCUUUCAAACAGCUCUAACUUAUUUAAUACAAUUUUCUAACAUUACAAAAUUAAAUUUCAAAAAGUAUUUUUUUUUUUUUUUUGUUUACAAAAAUAUGUUUGUGUUACUCAUUUUUGUAGAUUAGAAAAUUGUGAGUAAUAAGUUAAAGAUGAAGGAUGGAACUUCUAAAACUCUUCGUUUUUGUUAUAAAUAUAUAUUUUUUUUAAGUGUUUUUUUGUAGAUUUCAAGUGCAUCGAAUCCUGAGCCCUGUACCUUAUACAUACUACACCAUAAACUGUAAACAUCUGCAAGUCUUAUGUAUCUUAAUUUUUACUUAUUGUUUUGAAUGUUUGAUUAUACAACUGUGAUAGAGAUAAUUGUAUUGAUAUUUUAUUUUGCACACUAUUAAUUAUUAUCUACAAUGAUGUUCUAGUUAGAAAUUUAAAAAUAAACCAACUGAUCCAGCAUUGUGUAACUGCACAAUUCAGUUAGUAACCAAACUAUACAAACCAGUUACAAUAAAAGUGUGUAUAAUAAUCAUCCAAUGUUUUAGAUUUUGUCUUAGUCCGGUAAGUGCAUGUUAUAUUGUGUAAAUUAUUGUUUAUUAUUUUAUUAUUUAUUAUUAUUUAAUGUGAUUAUUGUUAACAUUUACACUUAAUUUAUCAAAUGGCAGUGGUAGACUCAAAACCAUGUAUUUCGAAGUUCAUCAU